AACGAACGCUGGCGGCAUGCCUAACACAUGCAAGUCGAACGAGACCUUCGGGUCUAGUGGCGCACGGGUGCGUAACGCGUGGGAACCUGCCCUUAGGUUCGGAAUAACUCCCCGAAAGGGGUGCUAAUACCGGAUAAUGUCUUCGGACCAAAGAUUUAUCGCCUUUGGAUGGGCCCGCGUUGGAUUAGCUAGUUGGUAGGGUAAAAGCCUACCAAGGUGACGAUCCAUAGCUGGUCAGAGAGGAUGAUCAGCCACACUGGGACUGAGACACGGCCCAGACUCCUACGGGAGGCAGCAGUGGGGAAUAUUGGACAAUGGGCGAAAGCCUGAUCCAGCAAUGCCGCGUGAGUGAUGAAGGCCUUAGGGUUGUAAAGCUCUUUUACCCGGGAUGAUAAUGACAGUACCGGGAGAAGAAGCACCGGCUAACUCCGUG
rnacentral:rRNA from 1 species